CAUAUUUGUUUUAAUUCAGGCGAAAUUUUUUGUGCAACCAUAGCGUACCCGAAAGAAAAUUCUAAGAUAAAAGAUAUACGUUUUUCAAGAAAAUUCUG